CAGUAGCCGCGGGAAUACGGAGGGUGCAAGCGUUAAUCGGAAUUACUGGGCGUAAAGCGCACGCAGGCGGUCUGUCAAGUCGGAUGUGAAAUCCCCGGGCUCAACCUGGGAACUGCAUUCGAAACUGGCAGGCUAGAGUCUUGUAGAUGGGGGUAGAAUUCCAGGUGUAGCGGUGAAAUGCGUAGAGAUCUGGAGGAAUACCGGUGGCGAAGGCGGCCCCCUGGACAAAGACUGACGCUCAGGUGCGAAAGCGUGGGGAGCAAACAGGAUUAGAUACCCGAGUAGUCCCUGUCUCUUAUAC
rnacentral:rRNA from 1 species